ACUCAAAUGAAUUGACGGGGACUUGCACAAGCGGUGGAUUAUGUGGUUUAAUUCGACGAUAAACGAAGAACCUUACCAAGGUUAGAAAUCAAAGUGAAGGCUCGGCGGAAACGUGAGCCGUCCGCAAGGACUCUUUGACAGGUGCUGCAUGGCCGUCGUCAGUUCGUGGCUUGAGUUGUUCCCUUAAGUGGGGAAACGAACGCAACCCUCAUCGUGUGUUAUACGUGUCACACGAGACUGCCCCAGCCUUUGCGCAUAAGUAGACAUUUGUCUAUUUGUGAAUAAAGGCUGGGGAGGAAGGAGAGGAUGACGCCAGGUCAGCAUGGCCCUUGAUACCUUGGGCUACACACAUAAUACAAUGGCAUAUACAACGGGCUGCAAUGGAGUAAUCCGGAGCUAAUCCUUAGAAAGUAUGCCUCAGUUCGGAUAGAGGGCUGAAACUCGACCUCUUGAAGUUGGAAUCGCUAGUAAUCGCGGGUCAGAUAUACCGCGGUGAAUACGUUCUCAAGUCUUGUACACACCGCCCGU
rnacentral:rRNA from 1 species